UACGGUAGGGCAGCAAGCGUUGUCCGGAAUUAUUGGGCGUAAAGAGCUCGUAGGCGGUCUGUCGCGUCGGAUGUGAAAGCCUCGAGGCUUAACCUCGGGUCUGCAUCCGAUACGGGCAGACUAGAGGCAGGUAGGGGAGAACGGAAUUCCCGGUGUAGCGGUGAAAUGCGCAGAUAUCGGGAGGAACACCGGUGGCGAAGGCGGUUCUCUGGGCCUGUACUGACGCUGAGGAGCGAAAGCGUGGGGAGCGAACAGG
rnacentral:rRNA from 1 species